CUGUAACAUCAGUUUUCAACGCUUUUCUUGGUUGUUGCCUGAUCUUAUCCAACUGCAGACCUUCGCUCCGGUGGUCCCCGUGGGCAUUUAACCCUUUCAGCUAAAACCAAGGAGAAGUGGAUCCCUUUCAGGACCGUAGACGAGACGGCUACCAGAGUGGGCUCGUGCCGUCCCAGCGCGCCCACACAGCCCGGCCACGCCUGGCACCGGGAGCUCGAGGUUCAGGGCAUCACAACUUCACAGCCGCUAUUGCGCAGGCUCUGCGUUCCACGCAGGCUUAUUAGGAAGAAAGGGGAUAAAAUUGCCCAGAGACACGUGAACCAGGGGGGACCAACCCGGGACUCGGCUCCCCGCUGCACCGGAUUCUGGAAUUUACAGUCACGAAAGUUCUAUUGUCUCGCGAUUGGCUCCGCGGCCGCAUGACAUCAUAGCGCUUGAUUCAGCCUUCGGGCCGCGAUUGGCUGGCCGCGCCAUUGUGGCGUCACGGUCAGCCCACGUUCCGAUUGUAGACACCGGGCGCCUUCCUCUUCCCAUCGCCGUGGGUGCUGGCUGCCGGCGCCUCCCUCCGACCUCCUCCCCGGCCCGGGCUGCUGCCGGCGCUCCUGCCGCCGCCUCGCCGCUUCGCCAAGCUGCUGCCGCCGCCCCUGGGGCCGAGAGGUUUUCAAAAGGAAAAUCCCA